rnacentral:lncRNA from 1 species
UUUUUUUUUUUUUGUCAUCUGUUGGAUUAAAAUUGAAAUAACCAUGCCUUACACAAAGCCGACAAAGGAACAAAGCCUUUCCGGAGCCAUAAGCCGACGAGGUAAAACAACACCCUUCGGAACCAAGAGUAAAACAACAACAAAGAACAUAACUUAUGCUAAAACAAGGAAGGGAUAGAUCACUACAAGAACGGAGAGCACCACCUUGCACUCAAG